AUGACCAGCGGAGGUAUAACCCUACAAAACCUACCCAAGGAACUACCAGUCGACUUUCUCAAGGAAAUUACGAAGAACUUCUCCAAUGAGCUACUACUUGGUACAGGUGCAUUCGGGUCAGUUUAUAAGGGGAUUCUGAAUGAUGGUGGAGUGGUUGCUGUGAAGAGACUCGCUGAAAAUUCACCUGUGCCACGUGACAAAAUAUUUGCGAAUGAGGUUCAGAAUAUUAUGGCCCUUGAACAUGACAAUAUUGUCAAGUUGGUUGCAUACUGCCGUGAAGCAAAUAACAGGUUGGUGCAGAGCAAUGGAAGACACAUUAUUGCAGAGAUAACUGAAACUUUACUCUGCUAUGAAUACUUACCUAAGGGGAGCCUUGACCAGAAUCUUUUUGGUACAUCAGCCAGUAGCAUUGAUUGGAACGAACGCUUCAAAAUAAUAAAGGGGAUCUGCGAAGCUAUACAUUUUCUGCAUACCUUGUCUAGUCCCGUUCUCCAUUUGGGUUUGAAGCCUCAAAAUAUUUUGCUGGAUGGCAACAUGACACCGAAAAUUGCUGAUUUCGGGUUCUCCAGAAUAUUUGGCCAAGAACAAACCCGAAUGAAUACACGAAGUGUUGUGGGAUCGGUUGGAUACAUGGCCCCGGAGUAUCUAUAUAAUGGUGAAAUCUCGGCCCGCUCAGACAUAUAUAGUUUAGGACUAAUCAUCAUGGAGAUCUCCACGAAAGAGAAGAAUAGUCCUAGCACUGACCAGAAGCAUGCAAGGAAUUAUGUUGAUGGAGUAAAAAAAAUUUGGACACCGGAGAAAAUAAUGUCCGAAUACCCCGAUAUAGAAGACCAUUGUACCGAUCAAGUAGAAGAAUGCAUCAACAUUGGUCUACAAUGUGUGGAGAUUGAUCAGCACAAGAGGCCUACCAUACAGAAGAUUGUCAACAUGAUCAAUAAGCUACCAAUGAAUUAG
rnacentral:rRNA from 1 species